rnacentral:lncRNA from 1 species
GUGAUCCGCCAUGCUAAGAACUAUAACCUGGUUGUCGUGUACAAUGUUGGCCUUGAGAUGCUUUGCCUGCUUUGAAGAAUUUUCAUUCAGGUACCUUUCGAUGGUGGCAAAUGCUUUGCUGCGAUGAAAUCCAUCACCUUGAUAUUCAGGAAAUCUUAUGUUGAUAUAAGGGUAAACUAAAUUCAUGAUUUUGUAGAUGUAACGCUUGAUUAGCCUUCGGAGGUCAUAGGGGAAAUAAUUCUGAAACAUGGCUUUAGCCACCAUUAGGCCUGCAAGUGUAGAGCCUGCUCCUGCCAUCAUUUCUCUAAUUGUAAACAACAUUAUAGCGUUUGUGUUCUUUUUCAUUUUUUUCCCCAAAUACUCUUAAAUAUCUGAUUCACGAGCUUCGUUUUUUGCCGGUACAUAUAGGAGCUGCUUCUGCUGCAUCAGUUGGAGCCUAAGUCUUCAUAUUGGUCUUUUUUUAAUAUUGGUU